UACAGAGGUGGCAAGCGUUGUUCGGAGUUACUGGGCGUAAAGGGCGUGUAGGCGGCUUUUCAAGUGGCUCGUGAAAGCCCCCGGCUCAACUGGGGAGGGUCACGCGAUACUGCUCGACUCGAAGGCAGGAGAGGGAAGUGGAAUUCCCGGUGUAGUGGUGAAAUGCGUAGAUAUCGGGAGGAACACCAGUGGCGAAGGCGACUUCCUGGCCUGUUCUUGACGCUGAGGCGCGAAAGCUAGGGUAGCAAACGGG
rnacentral:rRNA from 1 species